UACGUAGGGUGCAAGCGUUGUUCGGAAUUACUGGGCGUAAAGCGUGCGCAGGCGGUUUUGCAAGUCUGUUGUGAAAUCCCCGGGCUCAACCUGGGAAUGGCGAUGGAGACUGCAAGGCUAGAGUGUGGCAGAGGGGGGUAGAAUUCCACGUGUAGCAGUGAAAUGCGUAGAUAUGUGGAGGAACACCGAUGGCGAAGGCAGCCCCCUGGGUCAAAACUGACGCUCAUGCACGAAAGCGUGGGGAGCAAACAGG
rnacentral:rRNA from 1 species